GUGCCUUCUUCAGCUGCACAUAUACUAAAAUUAGAUCGGCACAGAGAAGAUUAGCAUGACCCCUGCACAAGGAUAACAUGCAAAUUCUUAAAGUGUUCCAUAUUUAA
ensembl:snRNA U6 U6 spliceosomal RNA